UUACAUAUUAUGUUUAAGCUUUUAUGGUUAGUGAUGUGAUUGUUGAUAAUCUGGAUGAUUUAUUAGUGUUUUAAGAAAUGAAAAUAUAAACAUUGAGAUAGAGUAUGGAAUAAGGUGUAAUUUAUGGUUUUGACGGUAUUAUGGUAAAUUUUUACCCCAAAAGAAUAUAUUCAGGAGUUAUAAGUUAUGGGGUAAAUAUUCAUUACGAGUUAUAUUGCAUAAAUUUAAUUGUAUUUCUCAUGCUAUGAAAGUAAUUAUAUCAUUUCAUUGAUUUAGUAAGAGCCACAAAUGUGAGUCAACCUACAAAUAUCCGCAAUAGCCAGGUUGAGUGUCAUCAUAGUAAGUGGAAUGCUAAAAUAAUAUUUUAAAUUUUUCUUAGGAUUUUAAUUUGGGUAAAGAAAAGCAUGUUUAUAAGUAAUGUUUGAUGCAUCAAUUAUGUUUUCUAGAAAUGGAAUUUAUUUGCCUAUUGAUGUGUUUCUAAAAUGAUAUUAUAAAUAAUUUUCUUUAUUUAUUUUGAUUAUAAUUUCGCGAGAGUAUUUUAAUGAAAAGGAAUAUAGAUGUAUUGCAUCAUUGAAAUUAAUGUUUAUGUACAUAUGUAUUAAAGUUCAUUUUUAAAAUCAUUAGAUAGUACAUUUCCCCUCCAGAUAUAAGGACAAGUAUAUAAAUAUAUAGUUAUAGAGAUAUAAUUGAGAUGGAGGUCUUUAGUGCAUGUCUAUGCUCACCCAAGGCUUUAAGUUAUGUGCUUGGUCAUUGUUACCCUUUGGAAGUUAUGUUAAACAUGUGGUAUGAUGAGAUACAUGAGAUGACAUGUCAUUAGUCUAUCGUUGUAGCUUUAGGAAUGACAGUAUACUUUAUGUAUGUCAUUGCACUGUCCAUAUGAGAUUCGAGGAUGACAAAAUCGUUCCCAUAGGCACUUGUUUAGUGACAGUUUUAAAAUUGCACACACAGACACACACACACAAACACAUAUGUUUUUUCUUGAUAUGAUCCUCAUGAUCAUUAUGCCCAACAUCAUGUAUUUCUUUUGUAUACUAGUUACUUGAUUUAAGGUUUAAACGUUCUAACUUUUUUUUUAACAUAUAGUUUUAUGAAAUUAUAUAUUGCAAUAAUAUAAUUAUUUUUCAGUAAGUUUAUUUUCAAACUUAUUAUCCGCUUGCUGAAUUUUAUACUCACCCUAUUUUACUAUAUUUUCCCCUUACAAGAGAUGGUAGGUGCACGAGUCAACUUAGUGACUGUAGUUAUUUUGAGCUUUGACCACAUGAUGGUGGUAGGAAACACAGAUGAUAUUAUUAGGGCAUUUUGAUCAUCUUAUCUUGGAUUCUAUAAUUAUUAUCAUGAUUUGAUGAAUAUGGAUUUUUAAUGUAUGUUGUUGUUAGUACAACGUACUCUUUUCAUAAUUUGGAGAUGUUAGGUGAUACUUGGAUUAGAUCGUUUUAAGUAUAUUAUUUGUUGUGAUGUGUGAUAUUAAGUUUGAGGAGGUUGAUUGAUGAAGUUAAUUCAAUAUUGAACUAUUUUAGGAGUGCGCCUUUUACAGGUUUGCAUGUUCGAAAUUCCAAAAUAUAGGGGAAAUUCUAUAAAACUUUUGGCAAAAUCCUUAUCGAUAAUUUUGUCUAAUUACAUUACAUGAAAGUAAAUAAACUCGCCCUUGGAGUUUCGGGUGGGUCAUUUCAUUUUGUAACAUUCUUUAUGCAUCAUGAGAGAAAUUAAAAAGUCAUCCCCAUAAGCGGCGCAUUAGUACCUUUAUUCUUCUUUUGUGGAUUUGAAAUUUCAACCUACCAACUUCUAUACUCAUUCUUAUAAGAAAACUAAUUUAUGCUUAUCAAUAAACUGAAAAAGAUAGUAAAUUAAAGUACAAACGAUAAAAACAUAUAUAUUUGCUUGCUUAUGUUUGGGUUAAAGUUUAUAUAGUUUCUAUAUUUUGAAAUUAAUUCUUGUUUACUUCUUAUAUUUUGAAAAAUAUCUCAAAACCCCCCUGACAUUAAAUUAUUGACACCCUCACUGUCAU
rnacentral:lncRNA from 1 species